GUGGGGGGGGAGAGAGAGGGAGAGAGGGAGGGAGAGGAGAGAGAGAGAGAGAGAGAGAGAGAGAGACCGGAGAUAUGGGAGAAAGAGAUGGCAGAGAGAACGAGACGAAAGAGAAAGUUUGGAGAAAGGGACAACAGUAGUCUCGCAAAGCCAGACCAAACUACAGCAGAGACAGGAGAGGGGGGUGGAGAGAGAGAGAAAGAGAAGCAGAGAGAGAGAGAGAAGGAGAGGAUGGUACAAAGUUAAUCCCUUCCCUCUAUAGUGUCGGGGUGGGGAACGGACGGGGGAUUUCCGAAGGUUCUCUAUAAAUGUCAUCGACCCUGAAGCAUCUGCAGCAGCCGACUCAAAAGAAUAAACCCGCCAGACAUGCUUUUCGUUCCUGACUGGGAGUCUGUCCCAUGUGUCACUUUCCAAAUAAAUGAAUUUUAAUCCUUUGCACAAAUGCCAUAGUUUCGACGUGUCACCGUGUUUAAACGUCACAAACGUCAGAGUCACUGCGUCGUGUUUAAAGCCCUGAGCACCGGUCUCACGAUUUUCAUUCGGUGUCUCGUGGUAGCAUUCGCUCAUCGACCGAGUCUGCCUCACCGUCGUCAAGGAGACCGCGGUCAACAGCAUCCAUGUUUUGGACAGAACCAAGCAAUCCACCGAGUGUGAAUCUCCCCGGCGUCGUUGGAACGAAACCCGUUUGUUUAUUGGAAAAAGCAGAGAAGACAAGCGCAAGGAGAUGGAUUGUAUUUGAAGGUUAACGCUCCUGCCAGCCAUGGCUCUUUAGAAAUGCGCUUCAACUCUGGACUCGAAGCCCAGGCAGUUGGGUUUUUGUUAAUAUGCAGUGGAUGUCACCAGGUGAUCGGAUUUCUGAAAUGAAAAACUGGAAAAAAUCGUUUUUCUCUGGUCCAAAGCAUCAAAUUAAAAUAUAUUAUUUCUGGACGGUUGCUGCAACGCUCCCUCAUUGACGUAUACAAGUUGACCAAAGUAAACGUAGUAGGUUACUAUAGUUGAAUAUGAGUAUAGGCCUACAUACCAAAAUGGUUUUCUAUGUGUUAAAGCUCUGUAGACCAGCUAAAAACAAGCCAAAGUAGGCAUCUCAAAUAAGAAAUUGUUCUUUAUCGUAUUAAUAGUGACAGAUCAUGCCUGCUUAUGGUUUACAUUUGAUAUAUAUAUAUAUCAAAUGUAUAGAACCCCCCAGCACAGCAAGUUCAGCACACAGCCUGUAAGAUAGACACAAGGCUAAUUACCAACUGUCUCUAAAUUAAUAUUCAUGAGCUAGCUAUAACCUUUGCCAGUCAAAAAUCUAUGAAUAUCAUUUUGAAUCCUAUUUUUAAAACACAGACAUUUCCGGCGACAGCUCCGGGCAUAGACGAGCCCCGGAAAACUGGGAAGUCUGGUCCCACAUGUAUUUCAUGCCUUUGGGAGCCAGUAAAGACUAGCAAACAAGCUAGCUGGCUAACCAGCUUUGCUAUGGACCUUUGGAAGCCAAUAAAGACUAGCGAACAAGCUAGGUGGCUAAAUAGCUAUGCUGUUGACCUUUGGGAGCCAAUAAAGACUAGCGACCAAGCUAGCUGGCUAAUGACUGACUAUCGGGGGUCAGUUAUCAGGAAAAGCCACGACAAAAAUGUAAACAUCUACAUCCAUCCACAGAAACUGCAUUCUUAUAUGCCCCAGAAUUUUUAUUUAGUUCUGUUAAUCUCUAGCACCAGAGAUUGAUUUGGUGUGACUUCACGAUCCAUAACCAACCUUCUCUUUCUGUGAACAUCUGCGGGACAAGAAAGCGAUGUUAAGAUUAGGCCUUAAAAUGGAAAAAGCGCAGUGCUUCGUCGCUACGGUGCACGGUGAAACGUCCGCUGUUUAAACAACAAAAGCCAGUGUUUAUACAGAGGACAUGGAAGUGUUUAAACAGGAGACGUGUGGAGUGAGUUCUGAAUGACUCGCCAACGAGCCAAGCCAACAUUCUGCCCGGCGAUAUUAGAUCUCAACUUACUUAGCCCGUGGUUAAUAAUAACCGUCUGAGUCCGACACCGCAGUGAUUGGAAACCCCUUCUUUAUCUCCAUCCUCGGCCACUUAGCAUCUGCCCCCGCUUUGGAAGUGAAUAUGGGAGUCUGGUUUGUUUUUCUAAUGGACGGAGUGGAGGAAAUGAAUGUCCUUGAACAACCCGUUCUGAUGUACUGCAGUGGACUUUAUUUUGUACCUGAACCCCCCCCCCCCAUCCCAUGUUUAAAUAGUUGUUGUUUUUUACAGAAACCCUAACAGACGGCGAAUUGUGUUUUUCGGUGCCUGUGUGUUUGUCAUUGGUGUAAAGUUCCUGUAGUAGACUCCCGUUUGUGAUUGGUCGAUGGCCAGCAGCACAAGCAGCCGGUUUUUUUGGUGAACUUAUUAAAAGCAAGCGACUCUGAU
ensembl:lncRNA